CUCAUUUCCAGUUGUGUACUUGCUAAAGAGGAUCAGAGCAGUUGUGUUUACACUGGUAAACUGUAGCAGGAGGAAGAACCAAGAUGCUUGUUUCAGAAUUCAAUUGCUCCAGAAAGAUGAAACCUAAGAAGAGAAAUGUAUCUUUGAGAUCCUACCGUGAUUUUGGUAAGUCUUUUCCAAGUGCUUAUUCUGCAAAUCUAGAUUAAUGCCAUUUAGAA
rnacentral:lncRNA from 1 species